AACGAACGCUGGCGGCGUGGAUUAGGCAUGCAAGUCGAACGUGAAAGGGGCUUCGGCCCUGAGUAAAGUGGCAAACGGGUGAGUAACGCGUGGAGAACCUGCCCGGAAGCGGGGGAUAACACUUCUAACGAGGUGCUAAUACCGCAUGUGUCUGCGUGAGCUCAUGCUCGCGCUGGUAAACGUGGCCUCUGCUCGCAAGCUACGGCUUCCGGAUGGCUCUGCGUCCCAUUAGCUAGUUGGUGGGGUAACGGCUCACCAAGGCGACGAUGGGUAGCUGGUCUGAGAGGAUGGUCAGCCACACUGGGACUGAGAUACGGCCCAGACUCCUACGGGAGGCAGCAGUCGAGAGGCUUCCGCAAUGGGGGAAACCCUGACGGAGCGACGCCGCGUGAGCGAUGAAGGCCUUCGGGUUGUAAAGCUCUUUCAGAUGGGAAGAAAGGUCCAUGGGUGAAUAAUCCAUUGGCUGUGACGGUACCGUCAGAAGAAGCUCCGGCUAACUCCGUGCCAGCAGCCGCGGUAAUACGGGGGGAGCAAGCGUUGUUCGGAUUCAUUGGGCGUAAAGGGCGCGUAGGUGGCUUGGUUAGUCCGACGUGAAAUGUCCGGUUC
rnacentral:rRNA from 1 species